CGGAGCCCCUUCUGGGGUGACGGCGUACCUUUUGUAUAAUGGGUCAGCGAGUUUCUGUUCGCGGCAAGCUUAAGCCGAUAGGCGAAGGCGCAGCGAAAGCGAGUCUGAACAGGGCGUUCAGUCGCGGGCAGAAGACCCGAAACCGAGUGAUCUAGCCAUGGCCAGGUUGAAGGUGGGGUAACACCCACUGGAGGACCGAACUCACGCCUGUUGAAAAAGUCGGAGAUGAGCUGUGGCUAGGGGUGAAAGGCCAAUCAAACUCGGAAAUAGCUGGUUCUCCGCGAAAUCUAUUGAGGUAGAUCGUCGGAUGUUUACCCUCGGGGGUAGAGCACUGGAUGGGCUAGGGGGACCCAAAGUCUUACCAAACCUAACCAAACUCCGAAUACCGAGAAGUAUAGUCCGGCAGACAGACGGCGGGUGCUAAGGUCCGUCGUCGAGAGGGAAACAGCCCAGACCACCAGCUAAGGUCCCCAAAUCGUGGCUAAGUGGGAAAGGAUGUGGGAAUUCCAAAACAACCAGGAGUUGGCUUAGAAGCAGCCAUCCUUUAAAGAAAGCGUAAUAG
rnacentral:rRNA from 1 species